rnacentral:rRNA from 1 species
CAAUAGCGUAUAUUAACGUUGUUGCAGUUAAAAAGCUCGUAGUUGGAUUUCUGGAGGGAGCGUCGGCCCGUAUUUACGAGUGCGUGACGUCUCUGUCCAUCCUUGCGGGAAGGCACGGCAUUGAUUUGUUGUGUCGGAUCGCAUCAUUUACUGUGAAAAAAUUAGAGUGUUCAAAGCAGGCUUUCGCUUGAAUACAUUAGCAUGGAAUAAUAAGAUAGGACUUUGGUGCUGUUUUGUUGGUUGAGCCUAAAGUAAUGAUUAAUAGGGAUAGUUGGGGGCACCUGUAUUGCGUUGUCAGAGGUGAAAUUCUUGGAUUUACGCAAGACAAACAGCUGCGAAAGCGUCUGCCAAGGAUGUUUUCAUUAG